UCAUGACUAUGUGAAUUAUCAAAGUCAAUAUUAGUCGACCGUGGUCGUUUUCAAAUCUCAUUACUCACACAAGAAACCUGGAAACAUAAAGGAAGCAUGGGCUGUUGUGCAAUUAGUUGUUUUUCAUGGGCUGUCGCCUUAUUAGAAGAACGAGUCAACCAACGAUUUCAUGAUUCAAGCGUCAUCAUUGCCAAAGAAAUAUUCUGGGCCAAUCUUCAAUAUCUUAGGUCCAAUGGCUCUCAAAUAAGAGGAAAUGGAGCGCUUAUUUUAACGGCGAAUGUGCUUUGGUUUACUUACGUUGCUCCAGACAUGCAGGUAGAAACGCGCGUUGAAAACAUUCGAACCGUAAAAGUUGGCAGAGCUCGGAGACUGUCUCGCGCUUUGAUAAUCGAUUUCGUCGACACAGCCACUGGGAAGGACGACCAAAUGGUGUUUGCCAUAAGGCAUCCAAAAAGAUGGGAAAAGUGGAUCAACGAAACUGUUCAAACGUCAGCAAAUUCUAUGCCGCCUCCAUAUUGGUCUGUGUUCGAACCCCUUCAAGCGUGAGUAUGUAACAUCUCGCUCAGCAGUUAGACAAUAUAGCUGAUCAGUGUACAUGAGGGGCCAAAAUUCUUGAACAGCUGAUUCGAAGGUUUAUUUUGUAUGCUGCUGCUUUGACAAGUUCGACGACUUUUCUACAAAAUUACCAAAAAAACUUGAAUCUCACUGAAAUGGUUGACUGUAAGUGUGCGCGGUGUUUCCUUAGAAGUUGUCUUACUUACUGUUCUUCCUUGGAAGAUGUCGAUCAUUUAUCGAGCUGAAGGUUAGGUGCACGUGGUUGAUGUCGCCGACUGGAACAGAGAUAACAGCACAAGAAAUAGACAUAACCGGGAUAACUUGAAAGCAUCCAUCAUAACGACAAAUUUCCGAAAUUAGAACUCUUGUUUUGAACCUUAAUUUGAUAAAAAAAAAGAAAAUCCUCUUACAGAUAGAACUCUUGAAGAUUAUAGUCAAAUGAGCAUCUCGAGUAUAUCAUGAAAAAACAACAUUAACAUAUAGCCAAGUGCAUUUCUAGAUCUUUCAUCAAGCGUAGGAAAAAACCUAUCAAACCUAUCAACCUAUCAGAGUAAGAUUAAUGACGAAAUGCAUGACUGGACAGGUCCAUAGUCACAUUUGGAUCGAUGAAAGAACCCGUUUUUAUGUGGUACCUGUCUAUACUUAACAUACAUAUCAUCACUGCAUUUAUACUCAUUGACUUUAAAAAACGGUGAUACCCUCUGUUGGUCUACAAAUGUCUUUGUGCCUCACCAUAAUCAUCUGAUGCAUGGGUCAAAAUUAUACAGAUUUAUAGAUUUAAUUUCUUUCAAGUCUUAUUCGGUUUCCUUUAUAUAAUUAACGUUCACUAGUGUUAUUUUCUAUAAAAUUUUAUCAAAAUAUUUGUAAACCGUUGUCGGCAUUGUUUCUACAAUAUAUUAGCUCCAUGCCA